rnacentral:rRNA from 1 species
GACGGAGUAACACGUGGGCAACCUACCUUAUAGUUUGGGAUAACUCCGGGAAACCGGGGCUAAUACCGAAUAAUCUGUUUCACAUGGUGAAACACUGAAAGACGGUUUCGGCUGUCGCUAUAGGAUGGGCCCGCGGCGCAUUAGCUAGUUGGUGAGGUAACGACCAAGGCGACGAUGCGUAGCCGACCUGAGAGGGUGAUCGGCUUAGCUCACACUGGGACUGAGACACGGCCCAGACUCCUACGGGAGGCAGCAGUAGGGAAUCUUCCACAAUGGGCGAAAGCCUGAUGGAGCAACGCCGCGUGAGUGAAGAAGGAUUUCUCGUAAAACUCUGUUGUAAGGGAAGAACAAGUACAGUAGUAACUGGCUGUACCUUGACGGUACCUUAUUAGAAAGCCACGGCUAACUACGUGCCAGCAGGGUAAUACGUAGGUGGCAAGCGUUGUCCGGAAUUAUUGGGCGUAAAGCGCGCGCAUUGACGGUGGUUUCUUAAGUCUGAUGUGAAAGCCCACGGCUCAACCGUGGAGGGUCGGAAACUGGGAGACUUGAGUGCAGAAGAGGAUAGUGGAAUUCCAAGUGUAGCGGUGAAAUGCGUAGAGAUUUGGAGGAACACCAGUGGCGAAGGCGAUCUGGUGGACCUGUGUAACUGACACUGAGGCGCGAAAGCGUGGGGAGCAAACAGGAUUAGAUGGUCAGUACCCUGGUAGUCCACGCCGUAAACGAUGAGUGCUAAGUGUUAGGGGGUUUCCGCCCCUUAGUGCUGCAGCUAACGCAUUAAGCACUCCGCCUGGGGAGUGUCGCAAGACUGAAACUCAAAGGAAUUGACGGGGGCCCGCACAAGCGGUGGAGCAUGUGGUUUAAUUCGAAGCAACGCGAAGAACCUUACCAGGUCUUGACAUCCCGUUGACCACUGUAGAGAUAUAGUUUCCCCUUCGGGGGCAACGGUGACAGGUGCAUGGUUGUCGUCAGCUCGUGUCGUGAGAUGUUGGGUUAAGCGCAACGAGCGCAACCCUUGAUCUUAGUUGCCAUCAUUUAGUUGGGCACGGUGACUGCCGGUGACAAACCGGUUGAUCAGGAAGGUGGGGAUGACGUCAAAUCAUCAUGCCCCUUAUGACCUGGGCUACACACGUGCUACAAUGGACGAUACAAACGGUUGCCAACUCGCGAGAGGGAGCUAAUCCGAUAAAGUCGUUCUCAGUUCGGAUUGUAGGCUGCUCGCCUACAUGAAGCCGGAAUCGCUAGUAAUCGCGGAUCAGCAUGCCGCGGUGAAUUCCCGGGCCUAAUCUGUACACAC